GACCGCCCUAUCAGGGCUAAGGCCAUACGGACAGCCGGGUCGGAUGCCGA
rnacentral:sRNA from 1 species